UACGGAGGUCCCAAGCGUUGUUCGGAAUUACUGGGCGUAAAGGGAGCGCAGGCGGACAGGUCAGUCUAAAGUGGAAUCCCGGGGCUCAACCUCGGAACUGCUUCGGAUACUGCCUGUCUUGAGUUCGUGAGAGGAAAGCGGAAUUCAGGGUGUAGCGGUGAAAUGCUUAGAUAUCCUGAGGAACACCAAUGGCGAAGGCAGCUUUCUGGCGCGAUACUGACGCUGAGGCUCGAAAGCGUGGGGAGCGAACGGG
rnacentral:rRNA from 1 species